GCGGUCGCCCGCAGGCCUGGAAGUCCACGCCGGUUCCUGGAGACGGCGCCUCUGCUCUGAGGGUUCCGUGGUGGGGAAGUCUACCCACUGCACCCCGGCGCCCACUGCACGCGGCCCGGAGGACCAUGUCGGGGGCCGACUUUGACUUUCCUGGUGGAGAAAACAGUGAAUAACUUUUCAAAGUCUCCUGUGUUGCUGACCUGGUUAUUGUUUUUGAAUUAUCAUUUCUGAGACAUCUCUGUGGCAUGGUGGCAGAUUCCUGUGGAUUCCAUCAUAAAUCAAGGACAUGGAUGGAGACCAUAUUCUAUUCCCUCUAGUUACGAAUAAGCCUGGAAAAGACUCAGGAAGGACCACGUUCCACAGGACUCCCAUAGUUCUGAAACAUUCUGUUCUUCACAGAGGUGUGU